rnacentral:rRNA from 1 species
GACGAACGCUGGCGGCGUGCUUAACACAUGCAAGUCGAACGGAAAGGCCCUGCUUUUGUGGGGUGCUCGAGUGGCGAACGGGUGAGUAACACGUGAGUAACCUGCCCUUGACUUUGGGAUAACUUCAGGAAACUGGGGCUAAUACCGGAUAGGAGCUCCUGCUGCAUGGUGGGGGUUGGAAAGUUUCGGCGGUUGGGGAUGGACUCGCGGCUUAUCAGCUUGUUGGUGGGGUAGUGGCUUACCAAGGCUUUGACGGGUAGCCGGCCUGAGAGGGUGACCGGCGACAUUGGGACUGAGAUACGGCCCAGACUCCUACGGGAGGCAGCAGUGGGGAAUAUUGCACAAUGGGCGGAAGCCUGAUGCAGCAACGCCGCGUGCGGGAUGACAGCCUUCGGGUUGUAAACCGCUUUCGCCUGUGACGAAGCGUGAGUGACGGUAAUGGGUAAAGAAGCACCGGCUAACUACGUG